rnacentral:rRNA from 1 species
AUUGAACGCUGGCGGCAGGCCUAACACAUGCAAGUCGAGCGGAUGAAGGGAGCUUGCUCCUGGAUUCAGCGGCGGACGGGUGAGUAAUGCCUAGGAAUCUGCCUGGUAGUGGGGGAUAACGUCCGGAAACGGGCGCUAAUACCGCAUACGUCCUGAGGGAGAAAGUGGGGGAUCUUCGGACCUCACGCUAUCAGAUGAGCCUAGGUCGGAUUAGCUAGUUGGUGGGGUAAAGGCCUACCAAGGCGACGAUCCGUAACUGGUCUGAGAGGAUGAUCAGUCACACUGGAACUGAGACACGGUCCAGACUCCUACGGGAGGCAGCAGUGUGGAAUAUUGGACAAUGGGCGAAAGCCUGAUCCAGCCAUGCCGCGUGUGUGAGAAGGUCUUCGGAUUGUAAAGCACUUUAAGUUGGGAGGAAGGGCAGUAAGUUAAUACCUGGCUGUUUUGACGUUACCAACAGAAUAAGCACCGGCUAACUUCGU